UCUGAGAUGUAACAAUUAGUUUUAGGAAGUGCCUACUUCUGUGAGCAAAUAAUCAAUUACCUGUCAUAGCAGCCACUCUUUCCUGAAACUGCCUUCCAACCAGGUGUGCAGUUUCUGAAAUUCUACCAAUGGCUUUACUUCCUCCAGGUGUCUUCUGGAGGAGUAAGGAACCGUGACCAGACAGACACAAAUACAUAUGGCCAUUAGUAAUAUCAUUACCAAGCUAACUACAGGAAUCCAGGGCAGUAUGCAGGCAUAAGAGGUCCAGGAAGAGCAGAACAGAAGACAGUUGUGUGGAGAGCAAGUGAAGAGAGGCACUGAAGACAAACUCUCCCAUCCUUCUGACUUUACCUGGUCCCAGUCCUGGGUGAGCAACUCACAUAACCUUAGGCUUUGAGAUGGUUUGGCCUAUCAUGGGCCCUGAGAGAAUAUUGGACAAAAAUGUUGUUCUUUAGAGUUUAUGGAGAAAGAAACAGAAACAGGAUUUGGUUAUUAUUUUGAAGUGGGCAGAAAAACUGAGGAGCAACCUAACUGCACCAUUCAAUAGAUUAUAAUGCAAACAAGGACCAGAAAUGGCUACUGUCAGAAGUGAGUGAGAAACAAAGCCUGGGGAAAGGAUGUAGGAUCACAGGAGGUGGAACUGAUGGGAUUAAUAAGAAACCAGGCAUGAGAAGCCAUGCAGAUGUAAAUUUGGAAAUCAACAUAUUGAUAGUUGGAGUCACUGGAGUAGAGAUGGGGUUUCACCAAGAAGCAAUUUUGAAGAAUGAUGGUGCCAAUGUCAGCAUGAUG
rnacentral:lncRNA from 1 species